CCUACGGGAGGCAGCAGUGAGGAAUAUUGGUCAAUGGACGAGAGUCUGAACCAGCCAAGUAGCGUGAAGGAUGACUGCCCUCUGGGUUGUAAACUUCUUUUAUAUGGGAAUAAAAUGUUCCACGUGUGUGAUUUUGUAUGUACCAUAUGAAUAAGGAUCGCCUAACUCCGUGCCAGCAGCCGCGGUUAUACGGAGGAUCCGAGCGUUAUCCGGAUUUAUUGGGUUUAAAGGGAGCGUAGGUGGAUUGUUAAGUCAGUUGUGAAAGUUUGCGGCUUAACCGUAAAAUUGCAGUUGCAACUGGCAGUCUAGAGUACAGUAGAGGUGGGCGGAAUUCGUGGUGUAGCGGUGAAAUGCGUAGAUAUCAGGAAGAACUCCGAUUGCGAAGGCAGCUCACUGGACUGCAACUGACACUGAGGCUCGAAAGUGUGGGUAUCAAACAGGAUUAGAUACCCGUGUAGUC
rnacentral:rRNA from 1 species